rnacentral:rRNA from 1 species
UGGGGAAUUUUGGACAAUGGGCGCAAGCCUGAUCCAGCCAUGCCGCGUGAGUGAUGAAGGCCCUAGGGUUGUAAAGCUCUUUCACCGGUGAAGAUAAUGACGGUAACCGGAGAAGAAGCCCCGGCUAACUCCGUUCCAGCAGCCGCGGUAAUACGAAGGGGGCUAGCGUUGUUCGGAUUUACUGUGCGUAAAGCGCACGUAGGCGGACUUUUAAGUCAGGGGUGGAAUCCCGGGGCUCAACCCCGGAACUGCCUUUGAUACUGGAAGUCUUGAGUAUGGUAGAGGUGAGUGGAAAUCCGGGUGUAGAGGUGAAAUUCGUAGAUAUUCGGGGGAACACCAGUGGCGAAGGCGGCUCACUGGGCCAUUAAUUACGCUGAGGUGCGAAAGCGUGGGGAGCUAACAGG